UUUAGGGAGCUCAGAGGGAGCCCCCACGAGAAAGAGUCAGUCACCCCGCUAGGCCAGGGAACUUCAUCUCCGCCAGGCAGAGAAGCGUGGCCCAGGAACCGCCGUCUGCAACCUUCACCCUAAGCCCACCGAUCUGCGGGCACAGCUAGGAUGAUUUCCCUAGGAAACUACGAUUUAUCAACAGAUUUAGGAAGGCUUACCAACAUUAAAUUACGGGUGAAUUAGGGUCCUUUUGCUUCUUCUCCAUCCUUGUCCAGAGACAGCAGGGCAGCUCACCUCCAGCCCAAGACUCAUAAAAGAAAUCUCCAAGAAGACAUGCUCCUGUGGAGAGGAGAUCUGAGUCAGUGUCUGCUGAAAGCCUCUUUGUAGUGAGUGAACUGACUUGUGCGGUUUCUGCUUUGAGCUCAAAGACAGACCUCAAUAUCGGGUCUUCAAGAUUCAAGUUUGUGCCUUCAGCUUCAUGCACAGCCGUACUCUGUUCUCUACGCCCAUUCACUGAUUAAAACUCAGCCUGCUGAUCUGAAAAUUCUCUUUAGCAACAGCCUUGUGCAUUCUGUGCUGUGCAGGAGCUUAUGAUAGGAGCUACUGACAUUUAUCUUAGCUAUAGGCCCUGCCUCUUCAGAGCUCUAGCUGUCCUGGAACUCUGUAGAUAAGGCUAGCCUAGAACUCAAGAUAUCUGCCUGCCUCUGCCUCCCCGGUGCUAAAAUACCCACUGGGCCAUUGACUAUAGGUCCUUGAUGACUGUGUUGAAGGAGUUCUCCACUGCGGUCUUAGAAGUGUGGCAAAAGUAGUACCCCGGGCCAGCCUCAGCAACACUAAAUAUCUGGAGUCUGUUUGUUUCUAGUGAAGGUUUGGGUCAAGACUUACAGGUACUAAACUAAAAUUUUUUCCAACC